CAAAUGGUUCUUUUCAGGACUACCAAAAUGAGUCCAAAAAGAGUUAU
rfam:Aedes aegypti strain Liverpool supercont1.176 genomic scaffold, whole genome shotgun sequence.